GGUGGUGAAAUACUGGGAAAUUGUCCCUUUUCGGCUUUCCUGUUCAGCGUGGGAUGUUCUGCCAGCUUUCUGAAUCUGUGUGGAAAGGACAAGAUUGGGACAACAAUCAAUACAUUUCUUUUUGUCAAAGAUAAUUUUACCAAGUGUAUGUUCAUUCACAAUUUUGUGAGAGAAUAGCGCAGUACAUGUUAAUAGCGACACAAAUUUUAUAUCCUCAAAAGUGGAAAAUGACAGAAGGUGAUUGGACAGUAAAGAUGUGGGAAAUAAUAGAAAUUGACACAUUAACAAUUUUGUUGAAUGAUAAGUCAUUGGGACACAUUUUAUCAAUAUGUAUUGGAGGGGAAGACAUUGCAUUACGUACAUGUCUGGAGGCAUAAAAUGUUGUGAUUUUGGCUUGUAUAUGUUAAAAGAAGCAGGAGUAGACAAUGUGCUGGAUAUAAAGUGGAAAAAAAGUUAAAUUUAUAGAGGAAAAAACAAAAGAAGCUGAAAACCCACUUUUAAAGCUGAUUUCUGUAUAGGUUGAUAGUUUUAGUGUUAUAGGUAAUAUAAUGCUAAUAAUAUAAUAUAGGUUAUAUGUAUAGGUUAUAUGUAUGUAUAUGUAUGUAUGUAUAUGUAUAUGUUAUAUGUAUGUUUGUUAAGCAAUUGUAUAUCUGUGUACUCUUUUUGUUUUUUUUAAUUGUCAAAAAUGUAAAGCAAAAAUAUUGGGGAAAAAACAUUCAAAAAGAGA